CAGACCAGCAGGGCAGUGGCAAAGACGUGGGGGCGCUGCUGCUCACACACUGCCGUGGCCAGUGGUGGGUGGCCUGGUGGCUGGGCUGGGGGCUGCCGUGCAUUUCACAAUGGAAGUGUCUCUAAAAGCCUGGGGACCUUGGUCUGAUGGGUAAUUAGCUGUGAAUAAGUGUUCGGAAGAGGAGUUUUUGAAAGUUUGACAAAACCUUGGGGAAGAAACCCAUGGUAAUGAGGGCAAUGGAUGUCAGCAUAGCUGUGUUUUCUUUUAAUUAUAGCAGAGUCAGCGUGCAUUCUAAUAAACACAUUUGAAAAUCUGCCUUCCAAAAAAAGAAAAGCCUCACUGUGAGUAUAUAAAGAAGAUGUGAUUGAUUAUUGGACUUGUGUAAAAGAACUUCUAUUUGUCCAGUUACGUGGACUGCUUUCGGAGUGGGCAGCGACUCCUCGGGACGGCACUGCGCUGCAGCAGCUCCGCACCCUGGCCAGGCUCUUAGUGCAUCCAAGAUCUUGAGCUGCCAGGGGCCUGGCCACUCCCACCCCGAGCCCUACCUUGGCUGAGCUUGUCACCGCUGCGUGUCCCGGGCUGCCGGCCUGCCUGUCAUCUGCAGUGCACAGGUAUGCAUGUGUGUGCAUACGUACAUGCACCACACACAUAUGCCUGCCUCACACACAGCACACCCAUACCCCAUGCACACCACAUACACAUCAUACCCGUCACACACUACACACAUGCUAUGCCGACCUCACAUACACCACACACACAUACGCCAUACCCACCACACACAACAUACAUACCCACCUCACAUACACCACACACAUACCCCAUACACACCACACACACACCACACACCUAACUCACGUACACCACACACACCGCACAUAUAUACACUCACCUCACACACAUAGUCCAUACACACCAUACACGACACACGUACCCACCUCACAGAGCACAUAUACACUGUGCCCACCGCAUGCACACCACACACUUAACCCAUAUACAGCACACACACCACACACAUACCGUGCCCACCUCACACACACCACACACAUAUCAUACCCACCUCACACACCACACACUACAUAUAUACCAUGCCAACCUCACAUACCCCAGACACUUAACCCAUGCACACCACACACACAGCACACACAUAUCCCCACCUCACUCACACACCAUACACCUAACCAUACCCACCUCACACACAUACACCAUACACACCACACACAAAACACGUCAUACCCACAUCAUACACCACACACCACAUAUACACCAUUCCCACUGUACACACCUACACACUUAACCCAUAUACAGCACACACACACCACACACACCAUACCAACUUCACACACAGCAUACAUAUAUCAUACCCAUCUAACACACGUACCCCAUAGACUCCACACAACACAUAUACUCACCUCUCACAGCACAUAUAUACCAUGCCCACCUCGCACACACCAUACACUUCCUAUACCCACCUCACACACCACAGAGCACAUAUACAUCGUGCCCACCUCACACACCCCACACAUUCAACCCAUAUACACCACACACAUUCCACCCACAUAACCAUGUCCACCACCUCACACACACUAUACACAUAUCAUACCCACCUCACACACAUACCCCAUACACACCACAUGUGUAUAACAACCACGUCACAGACACCACGUAUAUACCGUGCCCACCUCACAAACACCAGGCACUUACCCAUACGCACCACACACACACCAUACACACCACACAUAUACCUACCUCACACACGACACCCAUAUGCCAUACACACCACGCACAACACAUAAACCCACCUCAUACAGCAUACCCUAGAUAUUUACCACGCCCAUCUCACACAUCAUACAUAUAUCAUCCCUACGUUACACACAUACCCCAUACAUACCACAUACAACACACAUGCCCACCUCACACAACAGAUAUAUACCAUGUCCAUCUCACACAGACCACACACUUAAUGCAUAUACACCACACACACCACAUAUAGUAUCAUGCCCACCUUACACACAUUAUACACAUAUCAUACCCACCUCACAUACCAGACACCCUUAACCCAUAUAGAACACACAUCACAUAUAUACCAUGCCCACUUCACACACCCCACACACUAACCUUUAUACACCACACACAAAGCACACACAUAUAUCCACCUCACACACACCCCACACACCCCAGGUACACCACACACAUAUACCCACCUUACACACCAUACACCACAUGUAUACCAUGCCCACCUCAGACACACCACACACUUAACCCACAUACAUCAUGUACAACACGCACAUAUCAUACCCAACUCACACACACACCAUACACGUCAUACCUUCCUCACACACAUACCCUGUAUACAUCACACACAACACGCAUAUGUACCAUCAUCUGAUCUUUGAUAAACCUGAAAAAAAACUAGCAAUGGGGAAAGGAUUCCCUGUUUAAUAAAUGGUGUUGGGAAAACUGGCUAGCAAUGUGCAGAAAGCAAAAACUGGACCCCUUUCUGAUACCUUAGACUAAAAUUAACUUCAGAGGGAUUAAAGAUCUAAACAUAAGACCUAACACCAUAAAAACCGUACAAGAAAACCUACUCAAAACCAUUCAGGACAUAGGCAUAGGCAAGGACUUCAUGGCUAAAACACCGAAAGCAAUGGCAAUAAAAGCCAAAAUAAAAUGGCAAUGGCAAUAAAAGCGUUUGGUGGGUAUGGGAUACAUGCAUGGCGUCUGGUAACUGUGAAGAGUACGAGGUGUGUAUGAAGUAUGUGUGUGGUGUUUGCAAGGUGGACAUGAUAUGUGUGUGGUGUAUAUGGCGUGUGGGGGGGUUUAUGUGUGGUGUGUGACAGUGUAUGAAGUACGUGUGUAGUAUGUGUGUGGUGUAUAUGGGUUGAAUGUGUGGGAUGUGGGAGGUGAGCAUGGUGUAUAUGUAGUGUGUGGUGUGUAUGGGGUAUGUGCGUGAGGUGGGUAUGCUAUGUGUGCCGUGUGUGUCGUGUAUAUGGCUUAAGUGUGCGGUGUAUGUGAGGUCGGUAUAUGUGUGUGGCUGUAUAGUGUAUAUGGGUUAAGUGUGUGCUGCGUGUGAGGUAGGUAUGCUAUGUGUAUAGUGUGUGUGAGGUGGGUAUGAUGUGUGUGGUGCGUGUGGUGCAUAUGGGUUGAGGGUGUGGGCUGUGUGAGGUGAGAAUGAUACAUAGGUGGUGUGUGAGGAGGGUAUGUGUGGUGGGUGUGGUGUGUAUGGGGUAUGUGUGUGAGGUGGGAAGGAUAUGUGUGUGGUAUAUAUGGGUUAAACGUGUGGGGUGUGUGAGGUGGGCAUGGCGUAUAUGUGGGUGUCUAAGAGGUGUUUCUGAUAUAUGUGCAGUGUGUGAGGUGGGUAUAUGUGUGUAGUGUAUAUGGGUUAAGUAUGUGGUGUGUGUGAGGUGAGUAUAUGAGUGUAGUGUAUACGGGUUAAGUGUGUGGUGUGUGUGAGGUGGGUAUAUGUGUGUAGUGUAUAUGGGUUAAGUGUGUGGUGUGUGUGAGGUAGGUAUGUUACGUGUGUGGUGUAUCUAAAGUGGGUAUGAGUGUGGUGUGUGUGUAGUGUAUAUGGGUGUGUGUGAGGUGGGUGUGUAUAAUGUAUAUAGGUUAAGUGUGUGGUGUGUGUGAGAUGGGCAUGGUAUAUAUGUGGUGUGUGAGAGGUGGGUAUGUGUGUGGUGUGUGUGAGGGGGAUAUGAUAUGUGUGUAGUGUGUGUGGUGUAUAUGGGUUAAAUGUGUGGGAUGUGUGAGGUGGACAUGGUGUAUACGUGGUGUGUAGUGUGUGAGAUAGGUAUGUCUGUUGUGUGUGGUGUGUAUGGGGUAUGUGUGUGGUGUAUGUGAGGUGGGUAUGUAUGUUGUGUGUGGUGGGUAUGGGGUAUGUGUGUGUGGUGUAUGUGAGGUCGGCAUAGCAUGUGUGUAGCGUGUGAGGCGGGUAUGAUGUGUGUGUGGUGUGCAUGGGGUAUGGGUGUGCUGUGUGUGAGGUAGUCAUGGUAUGUAUGUGGUGCGUGUACCUAUGCACACACAUGCGUACCUGUGCACUGCAGAUGACAGGCAGGCUGGCAGCCCGGGACAUGCAGCGGUGACAAGCUCAGCCAACGUAGGGCUUGGGGUCUCUUUCUUUUGCACCCUGAGUCCCUUCACUUGUGCUUCCACUGUGGGUGGUCACAAGCUCUGUGCCCCUUGGUGUGGAUCUCUCUGCUGGAGGACACAGGACACCCUGCAAGUCAGGGAUGGGUGUCAUCCUUCACAGAGAUGGCCAAACAGCUCAGGUUCUAUACACACCUGCAAAACUGCUAUUUCUGGCUUCUAUGCACAAUCUCUGACUGGGCUACUGGCUCACACCUGUAAUCGCAGCACUUUGGAAGACCUAAAUUAGGCAGAAAUACAUGAAUGUCUGGGAGAAGGUUUCGAAGACCAGCUGCAUAGAAUAUAUAGGUCAGAGAAGAAAAGACUCAUGGUGAAACACGGUCUCUACAAAAAGUUAAAGAAAAAAGAGAGAGAGAGGGAGACGAGAGAGAGAGAGAGAUGGGCACGGUGUGCUUUGCACACUUGUAAAUCCCAGAAAUUUGGGAGCUG
ensembl:lincRNA